GGUCCGGGAAAGCGGGACUCGUUCCCACCCUCACCUCCGAGCGUUGCGGGUGCGUUCUGGGACCCCGGAGUCCUUGACCCCGGUUUAGGGCAAGCCUGCCCCAUCCCAAAGAAGGUCCCUGGACUCUGGGUACAGGGAAUUGGAGAAGAUGGGCGAAGUCCUACAGAUCCCCCGUUACCUGAUUUCGCAGGAGACUCUCCGCCUCCAGGCUCUUUCAGGGUUCGGGCCUCUGCUGCUGUGGUCUUGAGCAGAACGGAUGUGGUCCCCGACCUUAUGAAGCACAGAGCCCAGGGAACGCGACAGACUCCCGAGUCCCCCUGAUUCUCUGCUCACCCCUCUGCGCAGAAGUUGUCAGGGAAACAGGCAAAAGCACAAAUGCUCACUCUGGACUGAAUUGCAAAUCUCACACCUUUCUUCUUGCCCAAAGCCUGACAAAGCAACCUGAAAUUCCAAACCUGCUGACCCUGGACAAGAAGAUCACCUCUUUCCCACUGACAGACAAAUGAGGGUUGCCCCAGGUUGACUCUCUGAGACAGAGGAGACAUCCCGUCUGCCAAACGCCUCCAGGUGAACCAGACUUAGCCUUACUGAACUGUGAGCCCCGUGAAGACAGGGAGCUGUUUGGCUUGUCCGCUGUGGCAACCCCAUUUCCAGCCCAGCCCAGAGAAGGCCCAGUGGAGCUGUUGUGUGCAUGCGUCUGCCAAACAGAGCCCUCCUCCCCAAGGAGGGAAAUGGGCCUUCUGCUGGAGCGAGUCAUCACGCCCCCGGUUUAGAGCGCCAUUCCCUUUGGCCCUCUUUGGUGCCGUCUCGGGGUUCAAAGUGACUGGCGCAGCCUGCAUGGGGAGACAGGAAACAGCCGUCAGAAGUCGGAAGGCCACGUAUGCCUCUUGGGCUGGAACCAGCCGUGCCCGUUGGUCCAGUGAGGCUCCAAUGAACGUCGAGGAAGAUCCAGCCAGCAGCCAAACUGCUUUCCUGGUUUGAUAUUUGGGGCCUUUUUUCUUGUCCUGCAACGCAGAUGGACAGAGCCUCCUUUGUUUCCUAGAGGGUCUGGUUACUUUUGGGGAAAGUCUCAAUUGGCCAUUGUAGAAGCUGGUCAACGCCCCUGUGUUCACGGCCGAGGACAGCCUGUCACUCUGACCUGCCGGGCCUGAAAUCAACUGGGUCAAAGACGUGGGAGGGGGCGGGGAGGGUGGG